AAGUCGAGCGAACGGACGAGAAGCUUGCUUCUCUGAUGUUAGCGGCGGACGGGUGAGUAACACGUGGAUAACCUACAUAUAAGACUGGGAUAACUUCGGGAAACCGGAGCUAAUGCCGGAUAAUAUUUUGAACCGCAUGGUUCAAAAGUGAAAGACGGUCUUGCUGUCACUUAUAGAUGGAUCCGCGCUGCAUUAGCUAGUUGGUAAGGUAACGGCUUACCAAGGCAACGAUGCAUAGCCGACCUGAGAGGGUGAUCGGCCACACUGGAACUGAGACACGGUCCAGACUCCUACGGGAGGCAGCAGUAGGGAAUCUUCCGCAAUGGGCGAAAGCCUGACGGAGCAACGCCGCGUGAGUGAUGAAGGUCUUCGGAUCGUAAAACUCUGUUAUUAGGGAAGAACGUAUGUGUAAGUAACUGUGCACAUCUUGACGGUACCUAAUCAGAAAGCCACGGCUAACUACGUGCCAGCAGCCGCGGUAAUACGUAGGUGGCAAGCGUUAUCCGGAAUUAUUGGGCGUAAAGCGCGCGUAGGCGGUUUUUUAAGUCUGAUGUGAAAGCCCACGGCUCAACCGUGGAGGGUCAUUGGAAACUGGAAAACUUGAGUGCAGAAGAGGAAAGUGGAAUUCCAUGUGUAGCGGUGAAAUGCGCAGAGAUAUGGAGGAACACCAGUGGCGAAGGCGACUUUCUGGUCUGUAACCGACGCUGAUGUGCGAAAGCGUGGGGAUCAAACAGGAUUA
rnacentral:rRNA from 1 species